rnacentral:rRNA from 1 species
AGAGUUUGAUCCUGGCUCAGAUUGAACGCUGGCGGCAGGCCUAACACAUGCAAGUCGAGCGGGGUUUUCGGACCUAGCGGCGGACGGGUGAGUAAUGCGUAGGAAGCUACCCGAUAGAGGGGGAUACCAGUUGGAAACGACUGUUAAUACCGCAUAAUGUCUACGGACCAAAGUGUGGGACCUUCGGGCCACAUGCUAUCGGAUGCGCCUACGUGGGAUUAGCUAGUUGGUGGGGUAAUGGCUCACCAAGGCGACGAUCCCUAGCUGGUUUGAGAGGAAGAUCAGCCACACUGGAACUGAGACACGGUCCAGACUCCUACGGGAGGCAGCAGUGGGGAAUAUUGGACAAUGGGCGCAAGCCUGAUCCAGCCAUGCCGCGUGUGUGAAGAAGGCCUUCGGGUUGUAAAGCACUUUCAGCGAGGAGGAAGGGUUAGUAGUUAAUAGCUGCUAAUUUUGACGUUACUCGCAGAAGAAGCACCGGCUAACUCUGUGCCAGCAGCCGCGGUAAUACAGAGGGUGCAAGCGUUAAUCGGAAUUACUGGGCGUAAAGCGCACGCAGGCGGUUUUUUAAGUCAGAUGUGAAAGCCCCGGGCUCAACCUGGGAAUUGCAUUUGAAACUGGAAAACUAGA